GCCCUUUUAACUAGUGGUAGAGUAAUGCCAUGGUAAGGCAUAAGUCAUCGGUUCAAGUUUGAUAAGGGGCU
rnacentral:tRNA from 1 species